rnacentral:rRNA from 1 species
UCCUGAGUAAGUGGCGCACUGGUGAGUAACACGUGGGUAAUUUACCUUCUUGUGGGGAAUAACCCUGGGAAACUAGGGCUAAUACCGCAUACGUCCGAGAGGAGAAAGCCGCAAGGCGCAGGAAGAGAAGCCCGCGGCCGAUUAGCUAGUUGGUGAGGUAAUGGCUCACCAAGGCGACGAUCGGUAGCCGGCCUGAGAGGGCACACGGCCACACUGGCACUGAAACACGGGCCAGACUCCUACGGGAGGCAGCAGUGGGGAAUCUUGCACAAUGGGGGAAACCCUGAUGCAGCGACGCCGCGUGAACGAUGAAGCCCUUCGGGGUGUAAAGUUCUUUCGACGGGGACGAUAAUGACGGUACCCGGAGAAGAAGCUGCGGCUAACUACGUGCCAGCAGCCGCGGUAAUACGUAGGCAGCAAGCGUUGUUCGGAAUUACUGGGCGUAAAGAGUGCGUAGGUGGUUGGCUAAGUUUGGUGUGAAAUCUCCCGGCUUAACUGGGAGGGUGCGCCGAAAACUGGUUGACUAGAGUGUGGGAGAGGGACGUGGAAUUCCUGGUGUAGCGGUGAAAUGCGUAGAUAUCAGGAGGAACACCUGCGGUGUAGACGGCGUCCUGGACCAUGACUGACACUGA